rnacentral:tRNA from 1 species
GUUCAAUUAGUUUAUUUUAAAAUAUUGAUUUGUGAUGUCAAUGAUCUUUUUGAGAUUGAAC